rnacentral:rRNA from 1 species
AGUGAACGCUGGCGGCGUGCUUAACACAUGCAAGUCGAACGAGAACGGAUUAUAGCUUGCUAUAAUUGUCAGCUAAGUGGCGCACGGGUGAGUAAUGUAUAGGUAAUAUGCCUCUUACUACGGGAUAACAAAUGGAAACGUUUGCUAAUACCUUAUACUCCUUAUUAACAUAAGUUAAUAAGGGAAAGAUUUAUUGGUAAGAGAUUAGCCUGUAUUGUAUCAGUUAGUUGGUGGGGUAAUGGCUUACCAAGACUAUGACACAUAACUGGUUUGAGAGGAUGAUCAGUCACACUGGAACUGGGACACGGUCCAGACUCCUACGUGAGGCAGCAGUGGGGAAUAGUGCACAAUGGACGAAAGUCUGAUGCAGCAACGCCGCGUGGAGGAUGACACAUUUCGGUGCGUAAACUCCUUUUAUAUGAGAAGAUAAUGACGGUAUUAUAUGAAUAAGCACCGGCUAACUCCGUGCCAGCCGCCGCCGUAA